GACGAACGCUGGCGGCGUGCCUAACACAUGCAAGUCGACCUUAGUGGCUAACGGGUGAGUAACAUGUGGGUAACCUGCCCAUCAGAAGGGGGUAACAUUUGGCAACAGGUGCUAAUAGCGUAUACAGAUGGAUGGACCGGUGGUGCAUUAGCUAGUUGGUGAGGUAACGGCUCACCAAGGCCACGAUCCAUAGCCGGCCUGAGAGGGUGAUCGGCCACAUUGGAACUGAGACACGGCCCAAACUCCUACGGGAGGCAGCAGUAGGGAAUCUUCGGCAAUGGACGAAAGUCUGACCGAGCAACGCCGCGUGAGUGAAGAAGGUUUUCGGAUCGUAAAGCUCUGUUGUUAGAGAAGCGGUAUCUAACCAGAAAGCCACGGCUAACUACGUGCCAGCCGCCGCGGUAAUAC
rnacentral:rRNA from 1 species